rnacentral:rRNA from 1 species
GUGGGGAAUAUUGGGCAAUGGGCGCAAGCCUGACCCAGCAACGCCGCGUGAGGGAAGAAGGCUUUCGGGUUGUAAACCUCUGUCCUUGGUGACGAAACAAAUGACGGUAGCCAAGGAGGAAGCCCCGGCUAACUACGUGCCAGCAGCCGCGGUAAUACGUAGGGGGCGAGCGUUGUCCGGAAUUACUGGGCGUAAAGGGUGCGUAGGUGGCCUUUUAAGUUGGAUGUGAAAUACCCGGGCUUAACUUGGGGGGUGCAUCCAAAACUGGGAGGCUAGAGUGCAGGAGAGGAAAGCGGAAUUCCUAGUGUAGCGGUGAAAUGCGUAGAUAUUAGGAGGAACACCAGUGGCGAAGGCGGCUUUCUGGACUGUAACUGACACUGAGGCACGAAAGCGUGGGGAGCAAACAGGAUUAGAUACCCCAGUAGUCC